GACGGAGGGGGGCAAGCGUUGUUCGGAAUUAUUGGGGCGUAAAAGGGCUCGUAGGCGGAUCCGCCCAGUCUGACGUGAAAUCUCCCACCGCUCACCCGGGGGAGGGGGCCCGUUGGGAUACUACGGAUCUGGAGUUCGGCAGAGGACCAUGGGAAUUUCGGGUGUAGCGGUGGAAUGCGUAGAUAUCCCGAAAGAACACCGGUGGCGAAGGCGGUGGUCUGGGCCUGAACUGACGCUGAGGAGCGAAAGCCAGGGGAGCAAACGGG
rnacentral:rRNA from 1 species